CCAGCAGCUGCGGUAAUUCCAGCUCCAAUAGCGUAUAUUAAAGUUGUUGCAGUUAAAACGCUCGUAGUCUGAUGUAAUGGGGACUGGUGUGGGGAGCAGCAAUGCUCUUUGCUUCGGUCCUCAUCAACGGGACAGCAAUGUCCCAUUUUACUUUGAGGAAAUUAGAGUGUUCAAAGCAGGCGAUUGCUUGAAUACUGCAGCAUGGAAUAAUGGAAUAGGACUCGCGUCUUAUUUUGUUGGUUUGGAGAUGUGAGUAAUGAUGAAUAGGGACAGUUGGGGGCAUUGGUAUUCAGUAGUCAGAGGUGAAAUUCUUGGAUUUACUGAAGACUAACUAGUGCGAAAGCAUUUGCCAAGGAUGUUUUCAUUGAUCAAGAACGAAAGU
rnacentral:rRNA from 1 species